CACUGCGGGUAUAUUGCAUUGCUCCUCUAGGUGUUGUGCUAUCAUUCUCUUCCCCAUCUGCUCAUACACGAACGAUUUCAUACACUGAUAGCAAUACAAAGAGGGCUGAUACUAGACCAAGCAGGAAUAUCAAAAGGCCCAAUCAUCUUUUGUGAUUACGUAUGAGGGGACAGCACUAGGAUAAGGAUAAGGAUAAGAAUAUUUCUAGAUUUCCUUAACCAAAUCUGUUAUAACAAUUUGCUCAAUUAUGUUACAACUCAGUGCACUCACAGUGGGACACAGACACCGUUUAGCUUGUGCUGCUUAUAAAUAUGUAUCCAGAAUUGAAAUGAAUACAUGAGAAAUUUCCAUUAUAGCUUUUCCUUCAUAAUUUCUGCUUAGGAUUAGAAUUGUAGUUGCUACCAUACACUGUGUAAUAGUUUUGCUUGGUGAAGUUCAUAAGGGGACCGUGCGUUUAAUGGCGUUACCUGAUAAUUGCAGGGAGCGUGUAACAUGAAUGCGUUACGUAAUAAUUGAAGGGGCGUCUAACAUGGAUCGGUCCAAAAUGUGUUGGGAGGAGGAAGUUGGUGGAAUAAAAGAAGAUACCCUUAAUUAAUUAAGUUUAAUUUACCAAACGUAUAUUAGUUUAAUUUACCAAUCCAUUUUAUUGAUUGUCUCCUUGAAUUUGUUAUUCUUCUUUUACAAAUAUCCUCCUUAAUUAAGAAAAAGACAAAGCACAAAAAGGAGCCGCAUCCUGAUCAACAAUCACUAACCCUUUCAACUUCUCAUUUUAAAUCUCUAUUGAGUGGUGGUGUGGAGGUCCAUCGAAUUCCGUUUAAUCUAUAUUUACGAAUUCCUUCUUUUUCUCUAUCUGAUCUGAUUUUAUUAUAGAGGAAGAAUAAGGUCUAUUUGAAUAAAGAAUUACAAGAAUUAAAACUAAGUUUCUCAAACAAUAAAGAGAAAUUCUCUCUUUCUUUCUCUCAUUUGAUAUACUUAAACUCAUUCAACAAUUGUUCCAAAAAAAUAAAUCAAUUACUUAGACUUAAACCUUAUGAUUUAUCGAUCGGUAUAUCAUAGCAAACUAUCCUAUUUAUAUUAAGUAAAGAAUCUACAAAUGCAUUCAAAUUAAGUUCAUCAUAUGUACACAUAUUGAUAAUAUAAAAUGUUGUUGGCUUGAAAUCCAAUUCUUUUUAUAUCAUAUUGGAAUGAAUUGAAAUGAGAGUAAUGAGUUGGUUACCAUGCAAUCGGUCACAUUCAAUACAUUUCUGCAUGUUUUGAGAAAAGUAGGAACACCACUUGAGGAAAGUGGAUAAAAGAGGGUGAGGAUGGAGUAAUCCCAGGCAACAACUAACAACAUAUAGAAAAGUUUGUUGGGACCAGUCCAACUUGCUUCUGUAUUGAUAGUAUAUAUGUUUCAAAGAUAGUAGGAUCAUAUUAAUAUCACUCAUUCAGAAAAAAAAAAAAAAGAAAAAAAAAGA